rnacentral:rRNA from 1 species
GACGAACGCUGGCGGCGUGCUUAACACAUGCAAGUCGAACGGAAGGGCCCUGCUUUUGUGGGGUUCUCGAGUGGCGAACGGGUGAGUAACACGUGAGUAACCUGCCCUUGACUUUGGGAUAACUUCAGGAAACUGGGGCUAAUACCGGAUAGGAGCUCCUGCUGCAUGGUGGGGGUUGGAAAGUUUCGGCUGUUGGGGAUGGACUCGCGGCUUAUCAGCUUGUUGGUGGGGUAGUGGCUUACCAAGGCUUUGACGGGUAGCCGGCCUGAGAGGGGGACCAGCCACAUUGGGACUGAGAUACGGACCAGACUCCAACGGGAGGCAGCAGGGGGGAAUCUUGCACAAUGGGCGGAAGCCUGAUGAAGCAACGUCGCGUGCGGGAUGACGGCCUUCGGGUUGUAAAACGCUUUAGCCUGUGACGAAGCGUGAGUGACGGUAAUGGAUAAAGAAGCACCGGCUAACUACGUG